rnacentral:rRNA from 1 species
AUUGAACGCUGGCGGCAGGCUUAACACAUGCAAGUCGAGCGAGCGGCGGACGGGUGAGUAAUGUAUGGGGAUCUGACUGAUGGAGGGGGAUAACUACUGGAAACGGUAGCUAAUACCGCAUAACUUCGGAUGAACCCAUAUGGGAUUAGCUUGUAGGUAGGGGAAAGGCUGACCUAGGCGACGAUCCCUAGCUGGUCUGAGAGGAUGCUCAGCCACACUGGGACUGAGACACGGCCCAGACGCCUACGGGAGGCAGCAGUGGGGAAUAGUGCACAAUGGGCGCAAGCCGGAUGCAGCCAUGCCGCGUGUAUGAAGAAGGCCUUCGGGUUGUAAAGUACUUUCAGUGGGGAGGCGUUACCGACAGAAGAAGCACCGGCUAACUCCGUGCCAGCAGCCGCGGUAAUAC